UUAUUAAAUAACUUAAUUCCAGCAUAGUAAACUCCUUUUUGAUAUUUACUGAGGUAGUAGCAGUAAUUUGAUUAUGGUCCACAGAGAUCAUUUAGUUAGCUGUUCAUAUGCCCUAUGAGAGUUAAAACAGGCUGAUAACUACCACUGGUCCACAACUGUUUGCAAUAGUCAGGAAAGUGUGAUAUGUCUGUAAACGAACAUUGGAAUGUUGGCACACUGUAAUUAUUAACCGCUCCCCCCCUCCCCCCAGAACAGAACCCCAGUAGUUAGUACUAUAUACCAUUGAAGACUCACGUGUUAGCAAUAGAAUUCUCAAUUUAGAAGAAUGUCUAAUUAAGCACUGGAAAGAAGUGAAAUCAUGUAAUGUCAGUACGUAAUCAUACUGAUAGUCAAUCACAUGUCAGGAUGCUACGUUGAUCGUAUUCAUCUCAGAGGUAUCAGUAUGCCUCCAAGCAGCAGGAAAAAGUUAAUCUGUGACAUGUCUUCUGAUGAGUAGCACCAACUUGUAGUAAAGCAUAACCGUGAUGAGAACCUUGACAGAUUGAGUUGAGGGUAACAUAGCCAUUAAUUGGCAAUAAAAGGCCAUGAACAUGCAUUCAUAAGACUUUAACUGACCUAAAACAUCUCAAAAACAUCAGCUGAGUGGGUCAUCAGGAAUUGAAUGAACAGGAAACUCCAGGAAUAGUGGGAAUACACACCAGAACAAAAACCUGCGAAGGGCUUCCUUCUAGAACCAUCUGUGAAAGGAACUUGGGGAACUAUUAAGAUUAAAUUGGAACCAGCUAAAAUGAACUGCAGGAUUAUUAACAGGUUAUUUUCACAACUAAUUAAACUGGGAUCAACAAAUAACCCAUCUGUGAGAGGUACCACAUCAAAGAAGAAAUUACCUCACAUGUUUUGUACAGCUGUGAGGUCUCAUAUGAACUGUGCGCGCCAUGGGAUAAUCUGUUCUGGUUCGUCAUUGUUCUCCAAGGAGGUCACCUCCUGCUGUUCUGGCGUCUUAUUCUCCUUGUUGCCAUCCUCGACUGCGGGAGUCACCUCGCUGUUAGACGGCAGUUGCUGUCUCAGAACUUCCUCGGGUUUUGAGGGUUUCGUCUUCUUGUCAUCCAUGACCCGAGGAGUAUACAGAUUUGUCCUGGAGACAAGUUCACAUUGAAAAUAUUAGUGAAAAGAUAUCACAUGACUUCAUUUUGUAAAAUGUAAAUGACUAAAAUAUCCUCAGAUGUGGAGACUUUCAAGUUGUCAGACUGAUCACAGCAAAUUCAUGCUUUUUUAGUUCCUAAAACAGUGCUGUAAUAAAAUUCUAUCAUCUUA